rnacentral:rRNA from 1 species
UACAGAGGUGGCAAGCGUUGUCCGGAAUUACUGGGCGUAAAGGGCGCGUAGGCGGCCAUCUAAGUCAGACGUGAAAUCCCCCGGCUUAACCUGGGAACUGCGUCUGAUACUGGAAGGCUUGAGUAUGGGAGAGGGAUGUAGAAUUCCAGGUGUAGCGGUGAAAUGCGUAGAUAUCUGGAGGAAUACCGGUGGCGAAGGCGGCAUCCUGGACCAUUACUGACGCUGAGGCGCGAAAGCGUGGGGAGCGAACAGG